GGCUUCUCUUUUUUCCUAUCAGCUUCAAAAUUCAAGACCUGGCCAUUUACCUUUACUUUAAACAAAAUCCUUCCACUUUAUGUAAUGAAUAUAUAAUUAUUCGUAAUUCAGCUGUUAAGCAACUACUUACCACCUUGCAUGAUCUGCAUGUAGCUAUUAUGUACAGUCACUUGAUGUAACACUAAUGCAACCCCCAAUAUAGCCCUAUACCCUACCAAUGUCAUGCCCCC